rnacentral:rRNA from 1 species
GACAGAGGGGGCAAGCGUUGCUCGGAAUCACUGGGCGUAAAGGGCGCGUAGGCGGGAUGGCAAGUCGGUCGUGAAAUCCUUCGGCUCAACCGAAGAACGUCGGCCGAUACUGCCGUUCUUGAGGGAUGCAGAGGAGAUUGGAAUUCCGCGUGUAGCAGUGAAAUGCGUAGAGAUGCGGAGGAACACCGAUGGCGAAGGCAGCCCCCUGGGUCGACACUGACGCUCAGGCACGAAAGCGUGGGGAGCAAACAGG